UACGUAGGGUCCGAGCGUUGUCCGGAUUCAUUGGGCGUAAAGAGCUCGUAGGCGGUUCGGUAAGUCAGAUGUGAAAACUCAGGGCUCAACCCGGAGACGCCAUCUGAUACUGCUGUGACUGGAGUCUGGUAGGGGAACACGGAAUUCCUGGUGUAGCGGUGAAAUGCGCAGAUAUCAGGAGGAACACCGAUGGCGAAGGCGGGUCUCUGGGCAGUACUGCGCUGAGGAGCGAAAGCGUGGGGAGCGAACAGG
rnacentral:rRNA from 1 species